rnacentral:misc_RNA from 1 species
AGCAGCCGCAGUAAUUCCAGCUCCAAUAGCGUAUAUUAAAGUUGUUGCAGUUAAAAGCUCGUAGUUGAAUUUCGGGAUUGACGUGAUGGUCGUGCCUUACGGGGUAUGAACUGUUGCUGUUGAUUUCUCACCUUCUGGAGAAACUUGAUGUCCUUAAUUGGGUGUCUUGCGGAUCCAGGACCUUUACCUUGAAAAAUUGAGUGUUUAAAGCAGGCAUUUUGCUCGAAUACAUUAGCAUGGAAUAAUAGAAUAGGACGGCAUGGUUCUAUUUUGUUGGUUUCUAGGAUCACCGUAAUGAUUAAUAGGGAUAGUUGGGGGCAUUAGUAUUCAAUUGUCAGAGGUGAAAUUCUUGGAUUUAUUGAAGACUAACUACUGCGAAAGCAUUUGCCA